AUUGAACGCUGGCGGCAUGCCUUACACAUGCAAGUCGAACGGUAACGGGCCUUCGGGUGCCGACGAGUGGCGAACGGGUGAGUAAUACAUCGGAACGUGCCCGAUCGUGGGGGAUAACGAGGCGAAAGCUUUGCUAAUACCGCAUACGAUCUCCGGAUGAAAGCAGGGGACCGCAAGGCCUUGCGCGGACGGAGCGGCCGAUGGCAGAUUAGGUAGUUGGUGGGAUAAAAGCUUACCAAGCCGACGAUCUGUAGCUGGUCUGAGAGGAUGAUCAGCCACACUGGGACUGAGACACGGCCCAGACUCCUACGGGAGGCAGCAGUGGGGAAUUUUGGACAAUGGGCGCAAGCCUGAUCCAGCCAUGCCGCGUGCAGGAUGAAGGCCUUCGGGUUGUAAACUGCUUUUGUACGGAACGAAAAGCCUUCUUUUAAUACAGGAGGGUCAUGACGGUACCGUAAGAAUAAGCACCGGCUAACUACGUG
rnacentral:rRNA from 1 species